AGCUCUGUCCUAAUGGGUGGAGGACACUAAUUGCCACUCUGAUCCUAUGGAAUAGGAUAGGUUAUCCCCAGCUCACUGUAGAUCAGUUCAAUUCUCUAUACUCUUUUAAGGAGGAUGGAAAAGACUCCGACUGGUACUAUGCCAAUGUUAGGCUUAGGAUUGGAGGAUCAUUAAUAUGGGGGACUUCAUCCUCGAUGAAAAAAUGGAAACACGAGUUCUUCUUUGUGUUUGGAAAGGGGCACUGAAGUUGAUAGGGAGGAAUUUGUCCCAACCCGUUAUCACAAGAUGUGCAAGUUUCCCUUACAGCUUUUCUGGUACACUUACUAACUUCGGAGUCACUUCUUAAAUGACUUACGUUCUGUCUUUUGCUUUGCAGUUUAUAAGAAGACUGCUAUAACUUUGGCUACCAAGAGCAAGAUUGACGCCAUUUGAGCUCUUCCAAAGAGACAGAGGUCUCGUAACACGGUAAUUUCUUAUUUCAAUAUGUUUAAGAGAGGCCUGUUUCAUUGUGCUUUUGUUCCACAGCAGCCUACUCAACUUCAAGUAUGAAAUCUAUUUUCUAUUGUUUUCACUGUAUUAUUGAUCUAAUGUAUAAUCCAAGGACUAUUGUUUUCCUUUAGAUAGAAAUGAGGAAAUAUUGGGAUAAAAGGCUUCCAAAGCUGCAGAGGUAGCUAAGGUUAUUGUUAUGAAGACAAAAAAAGAAGGAUUAUCCUGUUCGAGGAGGUCAGAAUGAGCUG
rnacentral:lncRNA from 1 species